GGCAGCGGUGGCGGCGAGCGCGGCGGCCCGCCCGGCGGCGGAGCCAUGCGGGGUGACGGCGGUGGCAGAGACAGGCAGAGGCCGUAUUAAUGCUACAGAUAGAAUUAGUAUUAACAUUAAGUUUUCAAUGGUUUGACUGAUUGUUGUAGGAUUCUCACAACUUAUUCCAUAGGUGAUCAAAUGACAAGAUUCUUAUAAAUGAACCUGUAAAAUGUAGUACAUAUUAUGUACCAUUGAUGUCUACUAAAUAUAUCGUAUGGUAUAUUUUAAUAUCAACCAUAUUAACUUGUGUAUUAAUAUACACAGAAAACACUGAAUAGAAUCUUUUACUGUUUAAUUUUUUUCUAUGAAGGCCCAACGUAUAUAAGGCAAUGUAAAUAUUCAAAACUAGGCCCUUCCUACACAAUAACUUAAGUUGUCUAUUCGAUCGGAAGGUCUAAAAAGAGGGGGUAAAAGCCCACGAUCUUACUGUUAUUUCGGGUAGUCUAGAAAAGAAUCGAGUUACAUGUGUGUAGAAUAUUAUGGCUGCCGUCACACAUACAUUAUGUUUGUCGGCAGCAUUAGCUUGAUCUAACUCGGCCUUAGCUUGUUUUUAUUCGGCCUCGGCUUGUUCUAACUCUAAUUGCUGCGGCUUUAAACGAGAUUCGAGCUUAACCCUUAUAGAUUGUGAAGAUCAACUUUUACCAAUGGGAUUGGUACCGCGGCUCAUGACCGUUCCAAUCGAUUUCGCUGCCUCUAUGUUUUCCUCUACGUUCGACGCCACAAUCAGACUGAGAUCGUUUAUUUCUGUGCGGCCAGCUUGUUGUUCCAGUGGCCCCGGAGUCCCCGAUGUAGUUAUCCGUAACUGUCUCGUAGCACGCCGUCGGCGUAGCAAUUGUCGACGCUUAUACUCGCCUCUACGCUGAAGUAGACUGGCUUAUCGCUUUCGCGGGCGCUGUGUAGCCAGCCACUUAUUGCCUUGAGUCGCUAAAUGACUACAAUCGCCGGAUUUGAAAGAUUUACGUUGCCUUGUGUACAAAGGGUCUUAGUCUACAAGUUAAGCUUUUAUUUUAUAGAGCGUAAGAAAGAUUAUUGUUAUCAGAUUAAUAAAGAUCAUAUAUUGUGUAAAUUAGGAUGGUAAACGAUUAUAUAUAAAAACUAAGUAUUGUGAAAUUCAAAUUGACCAUGUUUCAUGUACCGGUAGUAUAAAACAUCCUUUUGUUUGCAUUUUUCUAUAUGUACUUUUAAAAUAGUUCAAUUUAUGUGUAAUAAAUUUGUGAAUAUGUA